rnacentral:lncRNA from 1 species
AGAAACAGGCAGCCUGACUAGAGAACAAACUACCAAUUAACGAGCGAGGAAACAGGGCCAGAGAAUUGGAACAAAAUACAAGGCUGCCUCUGAAAGGAAUAUCUUUGUGCUGAUGUGUCCAUCAAGAGAACAUACACAGAAGUGACACUUGCCAGUAAUUUGCAAGCAGAUGGAACUUCAAUAUGGCAAUAGAGAAAGAAUCAAUUAGACCAGAGUCUCCUCAGGAAGACUUUCUAUAGGUGGACGGUCCCCUGGAGAGCCCGCUGUGUUGGAAGAUGUAGAAUAUUCAUGUAGAUAUCUGGUGAGCAUCUGCUAGAUGCCAGGGUUGGGGAGAGUCAAGUUGAAGCAAGCAUGAACCCUCAAGGACCUACCAUUUCAAGGCAAGAAAUAGAUACAAAUACAGAAAAUAUUUACUGGAUAGCUACUAGACAUAAGGAUGCAGAAAUGAAUUAGAAAAAUUCCUCGCCCUUGUUCAAAGCUAUGCUGGCUCUUAGAACAUCUGAGCCCCCACUGUUUCAUCUUUAGAGGAUCCCAGCUGCUGGGGUGUGAGGCCAGUGCUGGAGCCAGCAGUCUCUGACCCAGAAGGGACCUGAGGUGCUAAAGAAAAGGGUACAAGCUGGAAAAGGGGAAAAUGAAUCAUGCUACAGGCCAAGUGUCCAUCACUGAUUCCCAGAGAUGCCCUUUGUGUGGUAGGCACUUCCAUGUGGACUCGCUACAGAGGUCAUAAGACCCUAAUUCCAGAGGGCCCUACCCUAUAACCAGAAGGAAGAACUAUUGCACAGAGAAUCUAAGAAGAAUCUAGACAGACAGCCCUUGCUGGAUUUCUCCACUCUGUUAGCAUUCGAUCAUUUGCCUUUUGUCCAGUCAUAUUUCUGCAUGGCUGUCCAUACUUUGUUGAACCUAAGCACAAAAUGGAAAGUUUUCCCUGUAUCUUUGGGUCGUCAUUCUGAAGGCUCCCAUGUUAUGUAAAACUAUGAUCAAAUAAAUAUGCAUGCCUUUUCUCCUAU